UUACGGUUAUAUCACGUUGAAACACCGGUUCCCACCCGAUCUCCGAAGUUAAGCAACGUCGAGCAUGGUCGGUACCUAGAUGUGUGACCGAUUGGAAAUACUGU